AGUUUAAAGAUGGAAAAUUGAUAUUUUAUAAUCAUUUUAUUUUAAAAAAUAGUUUUUUAAUGAAAAUGUUAUACAAUAAAUAUGCUCACGUUAUUCUAUAGCGUAAAAGAUAUCUUACGAAUAGUAGCAUUAUUCAAACACUGGUAUGGAUAACAUUAAGUUGUAGCUGUAGAGUAAUAAUUAUGAAGAAGGGUAAAUGAGUUUUUUUUUCAUGGAAACGCCGUGCUCUAUAAGUAUUUUCGUAAUAAUUAACUUUUUUUCUGACUAUUUUACAUAUUUCAAAAAUAUACAUGCAGGGCAGAGUCUACAGUUUUAGUUUAUUCAAAUACGGUUACCUAUACUGGGUGUAAGGGGCAUGCUAACGAAAACUUAAUCCAGUGGUUCAGUACAUGAUUCUGAGUCUCUCAGCGUUGAAAUUUUUUGUCGGUCUUUUCACGAUAUUGAAAUUUUUUUUACAGUUUUUUUUAACUAAUUACAGCUUAGAAGUACUUAUUUCAUCUAUCUCAAUACGAUUUUUAAUAAAAAUCGUCAAAUCAAGAUUUUUAACAAAAACUAGCAAUGUAAAUUUAAUUUGCAAAAUGCGCGCGAUCAGCUGUUUUCCAAGAGGUCAAAUAGGCAGGUCACGACUAAUAGGUAUAUAUACAAAGUCACAAACAAACUGCGCGACGUUGUAUUGCCGACCGCCGCCGGUGCCGAGGAAAAUAAUUGCUAUCUCUCUCUAAGCUAAGCCACGCGGCGCGGUUAAUAGGUAUUUUCAAAAUAUUGAAACUUUAGGUCCUUUCGCUAGACGCUACGCUAUUUUUUCUUUAGUUCGUGUUCGGCGGUCUGUUGACAAACAAACCAAAAUUCAAAAACUUUUGUGUAUGUUUUAUGUUCUGUUAGUAGUGAUUUUCUGUAACGAAUACUCAUACAAUUGUGUCGUUUGUAUUGUGUGUGUUUGUGUGUGUUGACUGAGAAGUCUUGAAAUGCUUAGAUCAAAUCAAUUCAGUACUCAUGAAUAUCGUACCUACUACGACGACAUAACGUCUCGUAAACGAGAAACAACCUGAAGUAAGUUAACUACCUGUACCUAGUUAAAAACUUGUAAAGUAUAAAAAAUAGGUAUUAGAUAGGUAAGUGUAGCCAGCCGAUUUGCUGUCGAUGCGUACUACCUACAUGUACGUACGCAGUAGAUUGCGGAGCGUUGUUAUCGCAUUAUUCGCUGUACAUUGCGUGCUCAAAAUUUUCAAAAUCUGAAUUUUCUUAUUUCCGACGUAAUUGGUAUUUAAAAUAUCGUUGUGGAAACUAAAUUUAACCUCUUCAUGCAGUUUUCGGUAUCAUGUCCCUUACACCCAGUAUGUACGUGGAUACGUGCACACUUUUUUGAAGUAUAAGCAAAUCUUGGACGUUAGUACGUCCCCAAAAGAUUAAAGAAAGAGACGGCCGCGUGGCGCAGUGGGUAGUGACCCUGCUUUCUGCAUUCACGGCUGUGGGUUCGAUUCCCACAACUGGAAAAUAUUUGUGUGAUGAGAUUGAGUGUUUUUAAGUGUCUGUGUGUAUUUAUACAUUAUAUAAGUGUAUAUGUAGCGUAUUUAUACAUUAUACAUUUAUAUGUAGUAUAUAAUUGUAUAUUAAUAUUAUAAUAUCAACUAUCUUAGCACCCAUAACACAAGCUACUCUGUAUGCUUACUUUGAGGCUAGAUAGUGAUGUGUAUUGUUUAAGUAUAUUUAUAAUAAUAAUAAAAAAAAGAUUACCCCAUUUCUUAACCACGCGUACCCAUAGGCAUAAACCGUGCACCGUUCACCGUUUGUGACACGUGAUAUUUAAUUUCUUAAAAUGCACACAACCGAAAAACGUUACUAUACGUUCCCUUUUAAGAUAACGUACUAUAGUAACGGAUAUUUUAGUUUAGGUAUUUCAGUUAUAACGAUACCUACUUGAUAUCGUUCCGAUGCCCGCCGUUAACUUCUCAACCCUACUGAUUGUCUUUGAUUCAUAGUCGGCCAUUAUUGUUGUGUAAAAAAGUCAUCUAAGAAAAUUUCGACCAUAAAUAAGUUCAUUGUAUGAAGACCGGAUGGUGAACGAUGAAUUGAAAUAAUUCAUGAAGAUUGCGUAUUGUUUAUGCAAAACGACAGUAAAACUAUAUUUAUAAUAUUAUCAAAUUUACGUCAAACUUGAAAAUAAUGCAUAUAUUUUAACAACGUUUUAAUUCUUUUACUUAAAACAUUAAAGAAGCAUUAAUUUUUACGAAAAAUAUCUACUAUUGAAGAAAAUAGCGUGAGAAAAUGGUACAUGCAACUCAAGUAACAAAACGCAAUUAACGAAUUUAACCAAGGGCUAUUUGGACUAUUUGGUUAUCUCCCUGUUGUCUGUGUUGGCUAGUGUCAAAUUAACGUGAUAUCCUAUUAGUCUGUGGUGAAACAUAGCAUAUUAAUAACCUGUGGAUUAGAAAUUUUAAUUUAUCAAAACAAAACAAUAAUUUUAUUUUUCAGGUUAAAGAGUAUAUUUAAAAAUUGAGCAAAGUUUUACUAAUUUUUAGUGGUCUUAUGAGCAAAGUUUACUUCGUUUGUGUUAUUGUUACUCAAAACUAUAAAAGUAAACAAAAAAGAAAACUACCUUUAUCUACUUUUGUCGAUGUCCAUUUCUUAAGAAGUUUCUCAUUAAAACAACCCAUAACUCCACGUCCACGCCCAUGGCAGAGCUAGGGUGGUUAGCGUAACUACAAGUGGUUAACUACAGUUAGCCAACUGAAGAACAAUGGCCGAUUAAUUAGUGGUCGCGCUACUUAUCUACUACAUGUCCCUGCUGCCAGUUAUAGCAAUAAUUUCUUUGUUGGGAAGUAUUUAGCACAUCCUGGCUGCGCAAAAGGGGAGGACUAAAUUGAUUACUAUGAACAGACCAUUACGAUGAACCACUGAUAUUGACACAGAGACAUGAAGAUGAGUGCUUUGACAACAAGACUGACUAGCUGAGCCAGCUUUAAGAAUUAUGUGGUGUGUGGUGUGUGUGUGUAAUCCCAGGAGCUCUCUAUGUCAGCCAUCCAUCUAUAUUCUUACUCAUUUUUGUUAAUUAUAAAAUAAAUUUGAUUAUUUAUAGUAUGUAACUUCAUUGUACCUAUCCUGUGAUUGACUGAAGCUGUUAGAAAGGUUGCAUCUGUAAUAAUUUAUUUACGGUAAAACAUAUUUAAAAAAUAAAUAUGAUUUAACAUUUAAGUAUGGCCAAUAUGUUGUAAAGUACAGUGGGCAGGGCUGAACUUAUGAUCCCUCAGUGUCGAGUCGACCCCUUUUUGGUGUAGCUAGUUAGGCUUCAGCAGAUUUAUAUUCUAAUUUGGUAAUACUCUUUUUUUCUGAUUUAAGGAAAUAUACUAUUCAUCAAAACAGUGUCUGCAAGUACUGUACAGGCCGACUGUUUGGAUGAGAAGUAUAUAUUUGAUUAUUUUUUCAGCUUUGUGGUUUCAGGGUUUAAAAAAUGUCUAUCUGAAAGUCUAUGUCUACUGUAUUUAUUAUUAUUAUAAUAAAUAAACUUGAA